CGCCCUCUGUCAUCACCAAGGAAACCAGACGCGAUAACCCGCCACCAAAGCUGGAUUCAUGGCAGACGCUCCGAAAGCGGUUUUGGGGCCGUUGGUAGGGGCAGUGGACCAAGGUACCAGCUCAACACGUUUUUUGGUUUUCAAUCCCCAAACAGCUGAAUUACUUUGUCAUCAUCAAGUAGAAAUAGUACAGGAGUUCCCAAAAGAAGGAUGGGUAGAGCAAGACCCAAAGAUAAUCCUACAGUCUGUGUACGAGUGUAUAGAGAAAACAUGUGAGAAACUUGGGCAGCAGAGCAUUGAUAUUUCCAACAUAAAAGCUAUCGGUGUCACCAACCAGCGGGAAACUACUAUAGUCUGGGACAAGUUCACCGGAGAACCUCUCUACAACGCUGUGGUGUGGCUUGACCUAAGGACCCAGUCUACCGUGGAGAAUCUCAGCAAAAGCAUUUCAGUAAGCAAUAACUUUGUCAAGACCAAGACAGGCCUUCCCAUCAGCACUUACUUUAGUGCAGUCAAACUUCACUGGCUCAUUGAAAAUGUGAGACAGGUGCAAACGGCUAUUGAAGAUGGCAGAGCUAUUUUUGGGACGGUUGACUCGUGGCUCAUCUGGUGUUUGACUGGAGGUGUCAAUGGAGGUGUCCACUGUACAGAUGUAAGUAAUGCAAGCAGGACCAUGCUUUUCAAUAUUCACUCUUUGCAAUGGGAUGAAGAGCUCUGCGAGUUUUUUGGAAUCCCAAUGACCAUCCUUCCCAGAAUCCGGAGUUCUUCCGAGAUCUAUGGCCUAAUGAAAAGUGGUGUGUUGGAAGGUGUUCCUAUAUCCGGGUGUCUGGGAGACCAGUCUGCUGCUUUGGUGGGACAACUGUGUCUCCAGGACGGACAAGCUAAAAGCACAUACGGAACAGGCUGUUUCUUACUAUGCAACACAGGUCAGAAGUGUGUAAAUUCUGAACAUGGCCUUCUGACCACAGUGGCCUACAAGCUCGGCAGAGAGGAACCUGUCUAUUAUGCACUGGAAGGUUCCAUCGCUAUAGCCGGCGCUGUUGUUAGCUGGUUAAAAAACAAUCUUCAAAUUAUUAAGAGUUCAUCGGAAAUUGAAAAACUUGCUGAAACAGCAGGCACUUCUUAUGGUUGUUACUUUGUCCCAGCCUUUUCAGGCUUAUACGCGCCUUAUUGGGACCCCAGCGCAAGAGGGAUCAUCUGUGGGCUCACCCAGUUCACCAAUAAAUUCCACAUCGCAUUUGCUGCAUUAGAAGCCGUUUGCUUCCAAACCCGAGAGAUUUUAGAUGCCAUGAACAGUGAUUGUGGAAUCCCGCUGACACAUUUGCAGGUAGACGGAGGAAUGACCGCAAACAACAUUCUUAUGCAACUGCAAGCGGACAUUCUGUGCAUUCCAGUGAUGAAGCCUUCCAUGCCAGAAACAACUGCCCUGGGAGUCGCCAUGGCAGCCGGAGCAGCAGAAGGAGUUAGAGUGUGGAGUCUGAAUCCUAAGGAUUUAGCAUGUGUCCAGAUGGUGAAGUUUGAACCCCAGAUCAAUGUCGAGGAAAGUGAAGGACGUUACGCCACAUGGAAGAAAGCUGUAAUGAAGUCUAUGGGUUGGGUUUUGACUCAGUCUCCUGAUGGUCGCGACCCUAGUAUUUUCAGCAGCCUGACGCUGGGCUUUUAUGUAGUGAGCAGCAUGGUGAUACUAAUUGGAGCAAGGUACAUAUAAGAUGUCCCAUCAAUCAUGCCUCCUUGUGGAUUCCCCAGUUGAGAGCUCUUUACCUAAUGAAAGAAUCCAGCAGUUGUUUUAAUGUGAUGCCACUAUUUGUACUCUGAAUUUGUUUAUGUGCUCCUUGUUGCAUGUAUCUCCAAGAAGAUCUGAGAUGUGAAAUAAAGAAAAAACAGCAGCAA